UACAGAGGGGGCAAGCGUUGUUCGGAAUUACUGGGCGUAAAGGGCGCGUAGGCGGCCUGCUAAGUCGAACGUGAAAUCCCCGGGCUCAACCCGGGAACUGCGUCCGAUACUGGCAGGCUUGAAUCCGGGAGAGGGAUGUGGAAUUCCAGGUGUAGCGGUGAAAUGCGUAGAUAUCAGGAGGAACACCGGCGGCGAAGGCGGCGACCUGGACGAGUACUGACACUCAGACGCGAAAGCGUGGGGAGCAAACAGG
rnacentral:rRNA from 1 species